UGUGCUUUGUUUCCCUUCUAUUGCAGACAGCAUAAUGGACCAACGGUACCUGCUACUGCACUUUGAAGUCCAGUCUUGUGUUGCCACUGAGGCCUACCAAGGGGUAGUUCCUACCAAUGAUAAAGUGAGGUUGCAUUGGAGAAUCUAAAGUCUUUUGGAGAUGUCCCAAGGCUUAACCUGCACCUAUUCACACCAUAGGCAAGAAAAUUCUGUCUGACCUUUCUGCUGGGAAGAGGAUAUGUUUAGGCAAAAAUGAGUGACCCAUGAAAUCAGCCACCAACAUGGCUGUGUCACUUUGGUGCUCCCACAACAACUUGAAGCAUUUUUCAUAUUAAACUUAAUAGCCGACCUGUCUACCCCCUAGUCUGUGAGAUCCUUCAGGGAAAGACUUUCCCUCAUGUUUUACUCACCUCUAUCACUCUAACAACUAGGGCAGGAGAGUAGGGGAGCCACUCAGUAAAUAUUUGUGAACCUGAAUAUGAAUAGAGGGCACUCAAGGAACAGCAAAGGCUUAGAAGUAUCAUAAACUUCAUGUGCCCAGGAUGGAAAGAACAAAAUUUAGUGCAGACAUUUUUACAUAGUGAGUCAAAUGUGAAACAUUUUUCAACCACAAAAUAUUAUAUACAUUCGUCUUCCUCUUCCCA